GGCGCGGUACCCAAGUGGCCUAAGGGAAUGGUCUGCAAAACCAUCAUGCGAGGGUUCGAAUCCCUCCCGCGCCUCCA
rnacentral:tRNA from 3 species